AGCGAACGCUGGCGGCAGGCUUAACACAUGCAAGUCGAACGGGCAUCUUCGGAUGUCAGUGGCAGACGGGUGAGUAACACGUGGGAACGUACCCUUCGGUUCGGAAUAACUCAGGGAAACUUGAGCUAAUACCGGAUACGCCCUUUUGGGGAAAGGUUUACUGCCGAAGGAUCGGCCCGCGUCUGAUUAGCUUGUUGGUGGGGUAACGGCCUACCAAGGCGACGAUCAGUAGCUGGUCUGAGAGGAUGAUCAGCCACACUGGGACUGAGACACGGCCCAGACUCCUACGGGAGGCAGAAGUGGGGAAUAUUGGACAAUGGGCGCAAGCCUGAUCCAGCCAUGCCGCGUGAGUGAUGAAGGCCUUAGGGUUGUAAAGCUCUUUUGUCCGGGACGAUAAUGACGGUACCGGAAGAAUAAGCCCCGGCUAACUUCGUG
rnacentral:rRNA from 1 species